UCAUUUCUGGAAUAAAACCAGCUACAAAAAAGCCUCUAUGGAAGCAGCAUGCUUUCCUUCCUCUGCUGGUGCACACAGAUUUUAGGUUUCACACCUCAAGGCACACCUCCCUGGAGAAGUGUGUGUUGUCUUUUUCUAAGGGAGGAUCCAGAGAAAGACUCUAUUGGAGUUGGGAUGUCACAGAAGACAAGAUCGGAACAAAAGAAAGGUGAAGGUCAGAAGGUCGCCUUGCCACAGCAUGAAGGUAGUCUGUGGAUUGGUGUGGGUAGCCCUGGAAAAGACAGUGCUCUGUCAAUUCCAUGUAAAAGACAACACAUAGAGCUUCUCGAGCUGCCCUGGAUACUUCCAGAUCUGAAGGCUUAUAAAUUGACCUGACAAUCAAGUUUGGAUUUAUUUUGUCGUCAGCGUAGUGACCACGAAAGGAGCCCUUU